CGACCGGCGCACGGGUGAGUAACGCGUAUCCAACCUCCCCACCACUUGGGAUAACCUUGCGAAAGUAAGACUAAUACCCAAUGAUAUCUCUAGAAGACAUCUGAAAGAGAUUAAAGAUUUAUCGGUGAUGGAUGGGGAUGCGUCUGAUUAGCUUGUUGGCGGGGUAACGGCCCACCAAGGCGACGAUCAGUAGGGGUUCUGAGAGGAAGGUCCCCACAUUGGAACUGAGACACGGUCCAA
rnacentral:rRNA from 1 species